rnacentral:rRNA from 1 species
UACGUAGGGUGCAAGCGUUGUCCGGAAUUAUUGGGCGUGAAGAGCUCGUAGGCGGUUUGUCGCGUCUGCUGUGAAAGUUCGGGGCUCAACCCCGGAACUGCAGUGGGUACGGGCAGACUAGAGUGCGGUAGAGGAGACUGGAAUUCCUGGUGUAGCGGUGGAAUGCGCAGAUAUCAGGAGGAACACCAGUGGCGGAGGCGGGUCUCUGGGCCGCAACUGACGCUGAGGAGCGAAAGCGUGGGGAUCGAACAGG